rnacentral:rRNA from 1 species
UACGUAGGGGGCAAGCGUUGUCCGGAAUUAUUGGGCGUAAAGAGCGUGUAGGCGGCCAGAUAAGUCCGCUGUGAAAUCUCGAGGCUCAACUUCGAGCUGUCGGUGGAAACUAUCUGGCUAGAGUCCGGAAGAGGAGAAUGGAAUUCCGUGGUGUAGCGGUGAAAUGACGCAGAUAUCAGGAAGAACACCCGUGGCGAAGGCGGUUCUCUGGGACGGUACUGACGCUGAGACGCGAAAGCGUGGGGAGCGAACAGG